rnacentral:rRNA from 1 species
GAUGAACGCUGGCGGCGUGCCUUAUACAUGCAAGUCGAGCGAACGGGCGCGAAGCUUUCUUCUCUGAUGUUAGCGGCGGACGUGUUAGUAACACGUGGGUCACCUACCUAUAAGACUGGGAUCCCUUCGUUAACCCGUAGCUCAUACCGUCUACUAUUUUGAACCGCAUGGUUCAACAGUUAAAGCCGGUCUUGCGGUCGCUUAUAGAUGGAUCCACGCUGCAUUAGCUAGUUGGUCAGGUAACGGCUUACCAAGGCAACGAUGCAUAGCUGACCUGAGAGGGUGAUCAGCCACACUGGAACUGAGACACGGUCCAGACUCCUACGGGAGGCAGCAGUAGGGAAUCUUGCGCAAUGGGCGAAAGCCUGACGGAGCAACGCCGCGUGAGGGAUGAAGGUCUUCGGAUCGUAAAACGCUGUUAUAAGGGAAGAACAGAUGUGUAAGAAAAUGGGAGCAUCAUGACGGUACCUAAACAGAAAGCAACGGCUAACUACGUG